AGGUAGAAUGGCCGAGUGUUAGGCGGCAGGUGUAACCUGCUUACAGGGUUUAAUCCUGUUUCUUC
rnacentral:tRNA from 1 species